GUGAAUGAGCAGCAGAAGAUCACAUUCCAGAACAUGCAUCAGGGAUAUCCAACUGAAACACUAGCCAGAUUUCUCAAAGCAAGGGACUGGAAUGUUGCCAAAGCCCAUAAAAUGAUAAUCGAUUGUUUACAAUGGAGAGUUGAAAAUGAGAUUGACAAUGUUUUAUCA